GCUGAAGUAGCAAAGUGGUAAUGCAAGAAGUCUAAGGUUUCUCUAUGGAAGGUUCGAGUCCUUUCUUUAGCU
rnacentral:tRNA from 1 species